UAAGGAAUAUUGGACAAUGGAGGCAACUCUGAUCCAGCCAUGCCGCGUGAAGGAAUAAGGCCCUAUGGGUUGUAAACUUCUUUUAUCUGGGACGAAAACGGGAUUUUUAUCUCAAUUGACGGUACCAGAGGAAUAAGCACCGGCUAACUCCGUGCCAGCAGCCGCGGUAAUACGGAGGGUGCGAGCGUUAUCCGGAUUUACUGGGUUUAAAGGGUGCGUAGGUGGGCUUAUAAGUCAGUGGUGAAAUCUCCGAGCUUAACUUGGAAACUGCCGUUGAUACUAUAGGUCUUGAAUUAUCUGGAGNUAAGCGGAAUAUGUCAUGUAGCGGUGAAAUGCUUAGAUAUGACAUAGAACACCAAUUGCGAAGGCAGCUUACUACAUAUAAAUUGACGCUGAGGCACGAAAGCGUGGGGAUCAAACA
rnacentral:rRNA from 1 species